rnacentral:rRNA from 1 species
UACGUAGGGGGCAAGCGUUGUCCGGAAUUAUUGGGCGUAAAGAGCGCGUAGGCGGUCCGAUAAGUCGGCUGUGAAAGUCAAGGGCUCAACCCUUGAAAGCCGGCCGAUACUGUCGGACUAGAGUCCGGAAGAGGCGAGUGGAAUUCCCGGUGUAGCGGUGAAAUGCGCAGAUAUCAGGAAGAACACCAAUGGCGAAGGCAGCUCGCUGGGACGCGACUGACGCUGAGACGCGAAAGCGUGGGGAGCAAACAGG